rnacentral:rRNA from 1 species
AGUGCCCCGCAUGGGGAGUGCGAUCGCAAGAUUAAAACUCAAAGGAAUUGACGGGGCCCCGCACAAGCAGCGGAGCAUGCGGCUUAAUUCGACGCAACGCGAAGAACCUUACCAAGGCUUGACAUAUAGGGAAAAGUGGCAGAGAUGUCAUGUCCGCAAGGGCUCUAUACAGGUGGUGCAUGGUUGUCGUCAGCUCGUGUCGUGAGAUGUUGGGUUAAGUCCCGCAACGAGCGCAACCCUCGUUCUGUGUUGCCAGCAUUUAGUUGGGGACUCACAGGAGACUGCCGGGGUUAACUCGGAGGAAGGUGGGGAUGACGUCAAAUCAUCAUGCCCCUUAUGUCUUGGGCUGCACGCAUGCUACAAUGGCCGGUACAGAGGGCUGCAAUACCGUAAGGUGGAGCGAAUCCCAAAAAGCCGGUCUCAGUUCGGAUUGAGGUCUGCAACUCGACCUCAUGAAGUUGGAGUUGCUAGUAAUCGUAGAUCAGCAUCGCUACGGUGAAUACGUUCCCGGGGCUUGUACACACCGCCCGUCACGUCACGAAAGUCGGUAACACCC